rnacentral:rRNA from 1 species
UUAUGUGAUCGUCUCUCGCAUACAAUAAGCGGAGGAAAAGAAACUAACAAGGAUUCCCCUAGUAACGGCGAGUGAAGCGGGAAGAGCUCAAAUUUGAAAUCUUAAAGGGUUUCCCUUUACGAAUUGUAGUUUAAAGAAGUGUUUUCUGUUGAGGUUUUGGUAAAAGUUCUUUGGAAUAGGACAUCAUAGAGGGUGAGAAUCCCGUAUUUGACCUUUACUUUCAACUUUGUGAUACACUUUCAAAGAGUCGGAUUGUUUGGGAAUGCAGGUCCAAAAUGGGUGGUAAAUUUCAUCUAAAGCUAAAUAUUGGCGAGAGACCGAUAGCGAACAAGUACCGUGAGGGAAAGAUGAAAAGAACUUUGAAAAGAGAGUUAAGACAGUACGUGAAAUUGUCAAAAGGGAAGCGUUUGACACCAGUGUUGUUUUUCUGAAAAUCAAUUAAAGAACUGUUUAUGCUAAGCUGUUUAGACUUUAUCAGCUAUCUGUUUAGUUUUGAGCUUUUCUUUAAUGCACUUUUCAGUUAACAAGUCAACAUCAAUUUCUUUUGCUGUAAAAAAGCUUGAGGAAGGUGGCUUGAGAUUCGUCUUAAGUGUUUAUAGCCUCUUGCCUAUGCAGUCGGAGAGAUUGAGGUCUGCAGCGUAGAUCCUUCGGGGCUAAAUGCAUUUGUGCUAAGUUAUAGCAUUUUAUAGACAACUUGUUGACUAUGAUUUGUCUUGUAGCUUACUCGCUUAUGUUAUUUUACCUACGCUUAGGAUGUUGAGCGCAUGUCUCUCUCU